rnacentral:rRNA from 1 species
CGAUUACGGCUCAGUAACACGUCGAUAAUCUGCCCUAAGGUCAGGAUACCCACGGGAAACUGUGGUUAACACCUGAUAAGGAACACAUACUGAAAUGUAGUGUUCUCCAAAUUCGAGCCUUAGGAUGAGUUGGCGUCCGAUUAGGCUGAUGGUGGUGUAAUGGACCACCAUACCUAUGAUCGGUACGGGCCAUGAGAGUGGUAGCCCGGAGAGGGACACUGAGAUACUGGUCCCAGCCCUACGGGGUGCAGCAGGCGCGAAACCUUUACAAUGCACGCAAGUGUGAUAAGGGAAUUCCAAGUGCUCAAGCAUUGCUUGGGCUUUUGCCAUGUGUAAAUAGCAUGGCGAAUAAGUGGUGGGAAAGACUGGUGCCAGCCGCCGCGGUAACACCAGCGCCACGAGUGGCAGUCACGUUUAUUGGGCCUAAAGCGUCCGUAGCAGGUUCUAUAAAUCUCUUGUGAAAUUGCCAGGCUUAACUUGGCAGUGUGCAGGAGACACUGUAGAACUCGAGACCGGGAAGGGUUAGAGGUAUUCCUGAGGGAGCGGUAAAAUGCUAUAAUCUCAGGAGGA